rnacentral:lncRNA from 1 species
UUGGCUAGACUGCCUUUUAUUAAUUUUCAUCACUUCCAUUCAGAUUCAAACUAAUCCAGUUAUCUCUCUCUCACUGAGCUCUGCCCCCACCCUCAUACUACCAAGGACCUUAUAGAUCACUGCCAUUCUUCACUCCAUAGGGAUAGACAUUACCAAAAGGAAAGUGGUAAUUUUACUCUCCAAGUCGAGCUUCCUCUCUGGGAAGUGUAACGAAGAACUGGGUUCCUUGCGCAUCCAGCCGCAGAGGUACUGCAAAGUCGGUUUCAUUAAGUCGCUGAACUGGACAAACUGGUGAUCCUCCUGCUUCAGUCUCCCAGGGUGCUGGGAUCACAAUUCUCAGCACUGAACAGGAGAUUCUGGACGUUGUUCUUUAGACCCCUGUAAUAAAAAUUAUUUAUUCAGCACAUCAAUAAAUGUGAG